rnacentral:tRNA from 1 species
UGCCGGGUCGUCUAAUGGCAGGACAUAUCCCUCUGGAGGAUAGUAUUGGGGUUCGAGUCCCUACCCGGCAA